rnacentral:rRNA from 1 species
GAUGAACGCUGGCGGCGUGCUUAACACAUGCAAGUCGAACGGGACUAUUCUUGACAGAGGCUUCGGCUGAUAGAGGGUUUAGUCUAGUGGCGGACGGGUGAGUAACGCGUGAGCAACCUGCCCUUCAGAGGGGGACAACAGCUGGAAACGGCUGCUAAUACCGCAUAUUGCAACGAGAUCGCAUGGUUUUGUUGUGAAAGAUUUAUCGCUGAAGGAUGGGCUCGCGUCUGAUUAGCUAGUUGGUAGGGUAACGGCCUACCAAGGCGACGAUCAGUAGCCGGACUGAGAGGUUGAACGGCCACAUUGGGACUGAGAUACGGCCCAGACUCCUACGGGAGGCAGCAGUGGGGAAUAUUGGGCAAUGGGCGCAAGCCUGACCAGCAACGCCGCGUGAAGGAAGAAGGCUUUCGGGUUGUAAACUUCUUUGACCAGGGAAGAAACAAAUGACGGUACCUGGAAAACAAGCCACGGCUAACUACGUGCCAGCAGCCGCCGUAAAAC